UUUUCUUGAUUCCAGAAGACA
rnacentral:piRNA from 1 species